rnacentral:rRNA from 1 species
UACGAAGGGGGCUAGCGUUGCUCGGAAUCACUGGGCGUAAAGCGCACGUAGGCGGAUCUUUAAGUCAGGGGUGAAAUCCUGGAGCUCAACUCCAGAACUGCCUUUGAUACUGGGGAUCUCGAGUCCGGAAGAGGUGAGUGGAACUCCGAGUGUAGAGGUGAAAUUCGUAGAUAUUCGCAAGAACACCAGUGGCGAAGGCGGCUUACUGGUCCGGUUCUGACGCUGAGGCGCGAAAGCGUGGGGAGCAAACAGG